AACGAACGCUGGCGGCAUGCCUAACACAUGCAAGUCGAACGAGAUCUUCGGGUCUAGUGGCGCACGGGUGCGUAACGCGCGGGAAUCUGCCCUUUGGUUCGGAAUCACAGUUGGAAACGACUGCUAAUACCGGAUGAUGACGAAAGUCCAAAGAUUUAUCGCCAGAGGAUGAGCCCGCGUAGGAUUAGCUAGUUGGUGUGGUAAAGGCGCACCAAGGCGACGAUCCUUAGCUGGUCUGAGAGGAUGAUCAGCCACACUGGGACUGAGACACGGCCCAGACUCCUACGGGAGGCAGCAGUGGAGAAUAUUGGACAAUGGGCGAAAGCCUGAUCCAGCAAUGCCGCGUGAGUGAUGAAGGCCUUAGGGUUGUAAAGCUCUUUUACCCGGGAUGAUAAUGACAGUACCGGGAGAAUAAGCUCCGGCUAACUCCGUGCCAGCCGCCGCCGUAA
rnacentral:rRNA from 1 species